rnacentral:rRNA from 1 species
AGACAGCCAGGAUGUUGGCUUAGAAGCAGCCAUCAUUUAAAGAAAGCGUAAUAGCUCACUGGUCGAGUCGGCCUGCGCGGAAGAUGUAACGGGGCUAAACUAUGCACCGAAGCUGCGGCAGCGACACUUAGGUGUUGUUGGGUAGGGGAGCGUUCUGUAAGCCUGUGAAGGUGACCUGUGAGGGUUGCUGGAGGUAUCAGAAGUGCGAAUGCUGACAUAAGUAACGAUAAAGCGGGUGAAAAACCCGCUCGCCGGAAGACCAAGGGUUCCUGUCCAACGUUAAUCGGGGCAGGGUGAGUCGACCCCUAAGGCGAGGCCGAAAGGCGUAGUCGAUGGGAAACAGGUUAAUAUUCCUGUACUCGGUGUUACUGCGAAGGGGGGACGGAGAAGGCUAGGCUAUCCGGGCGACGGUUGUCCCGGUUUAAGCGUGUAGGGGGUGUGACUUGGUAAAUCCGGUCGCAUACUAACCCUGAGGCGUGAUGACGAGUCACUACGGUGAUGAAGUAGUUGAUGCCAAGCUUCCAGGAAAAGCCUCUAAGCUCUAGGUAACAUUGAAUCGUACCCCAAACCGACACAGGUGGUCAGGUAGAGA